GACAGAGGGUGCAAACGUUGUUCGGAAUUACUGGGCGUAAAGCGCGCGUAGGCGGCCCUGUAAGUCCGCUGUGAAAGUCAAAGGCUCAACCUUUGAAUGCCGGUGGAUACUGCAGGGCUAGAGUCCGGAAGAGGCGGGUGGAAUUCCUGGUGUAGCGGUGGAAUGCGCAGAUAUCAGGAGGAACACCAACGGCGAAGGCAGCCCGCUGGGACGGUACUGACGCUAAGGCGCGAAAGCGUGGGGAGCGAACAGG
rnacentral:rRNA from 1 species